CUAAACGCAUUAAGUGCCCCGCCUCGGGGAGUACGGCCGCAAGGCUAAAACUCAAAGGAAUUGACGGGGCCCGCACAAGCGGCGGAGCAUGCGGAUUAAUUCGAUGCAACGCGAAGAACCUUACCAAGGCUUGACAUGUGCUAGAUCGCCAUAGAAAGUUACUUCGGUACAUCGGUGACAGGUGGUGCAUGGUUGUCGUCAGCUCGUGUCGUGAGAUGUUGGGUUAAGUCCCGCAACGAGCGCAACCCCUAUUGUUAGUUGCCAUCAUUCAGUUGGGCACUCUAGCGAGACUGCCGGUAAUAAACCGGAGGAAGGUGGGGAUGACGUCAAAUCAUCAUGCCCCUUAUGACCUGGGCUACACACGUGCUACAAUGGUUGGUACAACGAGUUGCGAGUCGGUGACGGCGAGCUAAUCUCUUAAAGCCAAUCUCAGUUCGGAUUGUAGGCUGCAACUCGCCUACAUGAAGUCGGAAUCGCUAGUAAUCGCGGAUCAGCACGCCGCGGUGAAUACGUUCCCGGGCCUUGU
rnacentral:rRNA from 1 species